GAAAAAAACAAAAAAAAACAUUUUUAGAAAGAAAGUUAAAGAGGUGCAGAGUGAGACGGGAUACUGAACCUGGCAAAAGUAGACUUAGCCCUGAAACAUCUGAAACAUUUUCCCCAGAUUACAACCACAAACUUGGGUGCAUCUACUGAGACAAAACAACAAAAUGUGGCAUAUAAGUGUUAAGUUGAAGUAAAUUAUACAUGAUAUUUUGAUUUUUUCAACAAAUAAAAACCUGAGAAAUGUGGUUUGUAUUUAUAUUCAGCGCCCCUGAGCCAAACCCAGUCAAAUUAGGUGGAGAACACUGAGAACAUCCAUUAUUCCAUCUUGUCACAGAUUCACACAGAGAUUAAAAUGUCAAAAAUAGUCACUUAGGGAUAUCAAGGUAACAGAUGGUGAAUACAAUGCAAACCACUCUUCGAAUCUAUAUUUGCAAACAUUGUUCAAUUUCCUUGUUUAACAAUUGUGUUUAGAUUAGUUUUGGUCUGUGGCAUAAAACAAAUGUAGGUUGUUGUUGUAAUCUGACCACAUGUAAAAAGGUUAAGAGGAUGUGAAAACUUUUGCCAGGCAUGUUGCAAAACUGGACAAAAUACUACAGAGCCCGGGGAAAAAAAAAAAAAAAAACGCUGGUGGAAAUCCGUGCUCACACUUUAC